CAGCAGCCGCGGGAAUACGAAGGGUGCAAGCGUUAAUCGGAAUUACUGGGCGUAAAGCGUGCGUAGGCGGUUUGUUAAGUCUGUUGUGGAAUCCCCGGGCUCAACCUGGGAAUGGCAAUGGAUACUGGCAAGCUAGAGUGUGUCAGAGGAUGGUGGAAUUCCCGGUGUAGCGGUGAAAUGCGUAGAGAUCGGGAGGAACAUCAGUGGCGAAGGCGGCCAUCUGGGACAACACUGACGCUGAGGCACGAAAGCGUGGGGAGCAAACAGGAUUAGAUACCCCGGUAGUCCCUGUCUCUUAUAC
rnacentral:rRNA from 1 species